GGCGCCUCAGAUCGGUUACCAACCCUCAAAACGAGACAAUGUGUUUGGGUUCUUCCUCCUCAUCGCCAGCCAACGGUUUGCCGGAUUUGACUUGUGCAUCCACGUCAAGAGUUGCGGCUACACCUAGUAGAUCUACGCUAUUUGCCAGCUCGUUUCCGAAGACCUCGUCGCCUUCUACCAAAUGUACAUUGACGUGCGGUGGGGUGGUGACAACAUAUAAUUAAACAAAGAGUUUCUUGAUAGAUCGAGCAAUGGUGGCGAGGAGGGAUGUUAGAUAAUGAGACAAGGUUAAGGAUGUUUUGUGUAAAUGGGGAAAGAUGCCGCAAAGGCCACCAAGAAGGCUGGAGACUUGGUUGGAAACAUAUGGCACCACUGUUAGUUCCACGAGAGGGAUUUUGUCGUUGAACGUGUGUUUUGGGUGUUCGUGAAUGACACUUAAGUGGUGGCAUCACCGUAGUACAACACUCGGAAUGAAGUCUCGCGAUCCUUGUUGGUGGUGGUGGUGGUGUUGCACUUUUCCUGGACCAAAUAGUGGGUUUUUCCAAUAGUGGAUUUACGUUUCGAAUUAGUGGAUUUAUGAAUAGUGGAUUUGCGAGUUUGUUUCGUUGUUUUUUGAGUUGUGUUAAUAGUGGAUUACGUUCAUUCAUAGUGAAUUUCAUACGUAUUUAGUGGAUUUCGAUAAGUUUGUUGGGGAUUAUGUUAAUAUUAAAGUUGAUACG